CAAUAGCGUAUAUUAAAGUUGUUGCAGUUAAAAAGCUCGUAGUUGGAUUUGUGGCGUACGGUGGGUUCCGGGCACUUGUUGUCUGAGUAACCUGCUGUUGCCAUCCUUGGGUGGAACCUGUGUGGCAUUAGGUUGUCGUGCAGGGGAUGCCCAUCAUUUACUGUGAAAAAAUUAGAGUGUUCAAAGCAGGCUUAUGCCGUUGAAUAUAUUAGCAUGGAAUAAUGAGAUAGGACUUUUUUGCUAUUUUGUUGGUUUGCGCAAAGAGGUAAUGAUUAAUAGGGACAGUUGGGGGUAUUCGUAUUCCAUUGUCAGAGGUGAAAUUCUUGGAUUUUUGGAAGACGAACUACUGCGAAAGCAUUUACCAAGGAUGUUUUCAUUAA
rnacentral:rRNA from 1 species